rnacentral:piRNA from 1 species
CUGCAUUCCAGAGUACUGUAGAC